rnacentral:misc_RNA from 1 species
GAUGAAGAACGCAGCGAAAUGCGAUAAGUAAUGUGAAUUGCGGAAUUCAGUGAAUCAUCGAAUCUUUGAACGCACAUUGCGCCCGCCAGUAUUCUGGCGGGCAUGCCUGUUCGAGCGUCAUUACAACCCUCAGGCCCCCGGGCCUGGCGUUGGGGAUCGGCGGAGCCCCCCGUGGGCACACGCCGUCCCCCAAAUGCAGUGGCGGUCCCGCCGCAGCUUCCAUCGCGUAGUAGCUAACACCUCGCGACUGGAGAGCGGCGCGGCCACGCCGUAAAACACCCAACUCUUCUGAAGUUGACCUCGAAUCAGGUAGGAAUACCCGCUGAACUUAAGCAUAUCAAUAAGCGGAGGA